CAUGAGCGUGGUCGCGCCUGCUUUCUUCUCGACAUACUUGGAGCUGGGCUGGAGCAAGGUGGAGUGGUGCCGAUCACCACCACCACUGCCACCGCUGCCGGUGGGAUACGGGCAGAAGCAGGCUGUCUCUCCUAGCCACUUCCUGACUUUCUCCCUCUCUCUCACAAUGGCUGUUUCUCUCACUCUGUCUCUAUGAAUUUCUCUCACGCUUUAGGUAGCAUUAAGCUUACUCUUCCUCUCGGUCUCACUUCAUGAGUGUAUAUACGUAUACGCUGUCUCUGCAUGCAUGAGAUUAAAUAUAUGUAUGUAUAUUAUUAUUAUAUAUAUAUAUAUAUAUAUACAUAUACAUGGGUGUGUGUGAGUUUAUACCUCUGUCACUGUGAACACAUUCAUGUUCUGCGGUCGCUACGUAUGUCUCAAUUCCACGCUCUCAGCUGCUUUAAAUCCUCCCUCCAUCUCUUUCGUUCUUGUGACGAAGCCCGGAGCCCUGCUGCAAUCACUCCAGGCGGGAGGACGUCAACGACAACACAGUACUAAGUAACCUAGCACAACCACUACCAUCAGGAACUUUAUGGCCAAAUAGCGACAAAGACUGAUCGAAAAAACAUUACACUGUAAUAUGUAACUAUAACAACCAUAUAACGAUGAAGAUCACUUAAGUUAACACAAUCAGGGGUUCAGGUGAGUGAGGAAAAUUAUUAUAUGACGAAGAGUUUCAUAGAAAACAAAAACAUAAAUGAAUCAAAAUAAAUGACAAUGUGUUUGAAUGUCAGUGUCUGUAAAAAUAGAAAAUGAAAAAAAAAAAAAAAGAGCAGAGAAAGAGUCAAGGAAGACGAAAUGAAAUCUAGAGAUGACAGGACGUGUAAAAGGGCUGAAAACCGAGAUGGGUUGAGGGUGCCGGGUUGAUUUGAUAUUUUAAUCCCGGCACGUUUUUAUCCUUCGUUCACCACCAUUUGUCUCCUAUACAAUCAACGACACUCCAUUUCUCCCUCUCUCUUUCUCUCAUCAACAUAAUAUUCGAGUUCUCGUUAUGCUGGAAAGUCUGGAGUAGCUACUUGGGCCGACUGAAAAGAAUCGACUGGGUACUUACAUAGGUGCCGCCGGCUUGAUUGAUUUUCUAGCACACUGCACACAAGAAGCACUAUACUGUAGAGAAGGUAGAACCGUUGUUUGCUACAAUCAGUGUUGAGUGUAAACCCUGAUAUCAGUCGCCACUACCACAUCUGUCCCCCACCAGUCUGUUGCUGCUGUUGUUGUUGUUGUUUUCUUGACGCUUGUACAUAAGAGUAAAUACUCCUAAGUCUUCUAUAGCAAUAACAGGCAACCAGAACAAUUAACAGCAGGAAGUUAAUGGAGGAAGAUACACACAAACUGAUACUAUAUUGGGUUUUGUAAUGUUUCAUUGUAAGGAGCCGGGGGACCCUUCAACCCGACAGAUCAAUAGUGAUGGUACUGCUGGUCGGUGGCACACAGCAGCUUAUAUAUUAAGAGAAUCUUAUGGUGUUUUUGGUGGUUGCAGAGUGCUCUGUUUAUCAAAUUACGCUUUGGUUUUUACUGUAGGGUCACCUGAAGCCUAAAACGAAUACACCUUUCUGGUUGUCAAAAUGCCUAAUUAUUCAAAAUGUUGCUAGUACCUGAAAUAAAGAAGUCUCCGUUUUUUUUUUAAUUUCUGCAGAUGCAGGAUGUAUCUUUUUUGAA
rnacentral:lncRNA from 1 species